rnacentral:rRNA from 1 species
UCCUUCCUUAUACGAUUUUAAUAUUGGAAGACUUAUGCUAAUUGUUUUAUAGGUGAACCUGCGGAAGGAUCAUUAAAGAGAAGCUCGGACAUCACGUACGAGAACCUCCAACCCUUUGUUAAACAUACCAUGNUUGCUUCGGUCAGUCGCUAUUCGAUUAGUGCAGGUGUUCUCACACUUGAGAGUACUGGCCGGUCGGCUUACAAAAAUACUUAAAUAAAUGUGAAUGAUACAGUCUGUUAAGACUGAAAAUUAAAUGAAAUAAAACUUUCAACAACGGAUCUCUUGGUUCUGGCAUCGAUGAAGAACGCAGCAAAAUGCGAUAAGUAAUGCGAAUUGCAGAAUUUCCGUGAGUCAUCGAAUCUUUGAACGCACAUUGCGCCCAUUGGUAUUCCGAUGGGCAUGCCUACUUGAGCGUCAUUAUCAACCUUCAAGUAUAUACUUGUAGUUGGCGAUUACUCGAUNGGCGUCGGGUACCGCUCAAAGACAAUGAUGAUGUCGAUGACAUUGAAGUACGACGAGUCGUGAGACAUGUAUGGAUAAAUCAUCGAACGUUGUCGACAACACCAAUGAUUUUAAUGGUUGACCUCAAAUUAGGUAGGAAUACCCGCUGAACUUAAGCAUAUCAAUAAGCGGAGGAAAAGAAACCAACAGGGAUUACCUCAGUAACGGCGAGUGAAGCGGUAACAGCUCAAAUUUGAAAUCUUUGUCCUUCGGGCAACGAGUUGUAAUUUGUAGAGGAUGUUUUGGGUACUAUCGUCGAUUAAAUUUCUUGGAACAGAAUGUCAUAGAGGGUGAGAAUCCCGUGUGGAUCGACGACAAGGCCUGUGUAAAACUCCUUCGACGAGUCGAGUUGUUUGGGAAUGCAGCUCAAAAUGGGUGGUAAAUUUCAUCUAAAGCUAAAUAUUGGCCAGAGACCGAUAGCGUACAAGUAGAGUGAUCGAAAGAUGAAAAGUACUUUGAAAAGAGAGUUAAACAGUAUGUGAAAUUGUUGAAAGGGAAGCGUUUGUCAUCAGACUUGUCGCUCGGUGUUCCCUGUCGGAUCUCCGGCAGCUAUUCAUCGUUCAGCAGGCCAACAUCAAUUUUGAAAGUGAGUUAAAAGUGCCGGGAAUGUACCUUACCCCUCGGGGUAAGACUUAUAGCUCGGCACAUCAUGUCACUCUUCGGGAUUGAGGACCGC